rnacentral:lncRNA from 1 species
CACGUGAGGCCUCCGUGGCGACCUGACCCCGGCAGAGGGUGCUGGCGCUUCCUGCUGGACGGAGGGAGUUUCUGCAAUCAGAAUUAUCUUUUCAGGACAAAGCUUCGACCUGAGACCUUUCCAAGAAGUCUUAAAUUGAGCACAUUUACAAGAUGGAUGGACACAGUAAUGACAGAGACAGGAGGCAGCCAAGAGUCUCCCAUUGAAACCCCUCCUUCAAGCCUAAAGCAGUCUGAAGGCUGAGAAACCAGACUGCUGGUCUGGAUGAAGCCUGCCUUUUCCCAGCCGAUUCUGAAUAAUACCCACCUGCGCACUGGGAGGACUGGGUGAAGCCUCAGGAAGUUCACGCUAUUUGCAGUGGUGAGGAUCCUGGCCGCUCCUGUUCCUGUGUGGUGACCUGGGAUUCAAUCUUUGAGGGGGAAAACCUGCUAGAAGGACUCUC